rnacentral:rRNA from 1 species
GUGUCAGCAGCCGCGGUAAUACGGAGGGUCCAAGCGUUAUCCGGAAUCAUUGGGUUUAAAGGGUCCGCAGGCGGGAUAAUAAGUCAGUGGUGAAAUUUCUUAGCUUAACUAAGACAUUGCCGUUGAAACUAUUGUUCUUGAAUUCGGUCGAAGUGGGCGGAAUAUGUCAUGUAGCGGUGAAAUGCAUAGAUAUGACGUGGAACUCCGAUAGCGAAGGCAGCUCACUAGGCCUGAAUUGACGCUCAGGGACGAAAGCGUGGGUAGCAAACAGGAUUAGAUACCCUGGUAGUCCACGCUGUAAACGAUGAUUACUCGAUAUCAGCGAUAUAUUGUUGGUGUCCAAGCGAAAGUGAUAAGUAAUCCACCUGGGGAGUACGAUCGCAAGGUUGAA